ACUUGAUACAAACCGUCCAAGUGGAAAACAUAAUCUGGUGGAAUGGAUCAAACCAUAUUUAUGUGAUAAAAGAAAGUUGAAGAACAUUAUGGACUCUGGAUUAGAGGGGAAAUAUCCUUCGAAAGCAACAUUCAGAAUUGCUCAGCUUGCUCUAAAUUGUAUCGAAUCUGAACCUAAGCAUCGGCCAUCUAUGAAAGAAGUUGUGGAGACAUUGGAAGGAAUUGAAGCAAGUAAUGAAAGGCCGAGAGAGCCUAAAGUUCGUUCUAACCGCCAGCACACCCAACAACAUUUGCAGAAUCGUUCUUCACUUCAUCCAAGGCAGGAUGGAAAUCAAGCAUAUCAACAACCUCCGCGGGUGAGGUAACUAGGGUACAACUAUUUCCAAGUAAGCACAAAUCCUUAAGUUUUUGGUGGUUUGUCCAUCAAAUAUUUGUCAAAUCUUUAUUCAAGUAAUAUAGUAAAAUCUAUGGCGAGUUGUUGUAACGGUGACUUGAAUGGAGCGUUAGUGUAUUGGUGGUAAACCUGCAAUUAUUUUCUCUGGAAUGAAGAGGUGUGUUGAAAAGGAUGUAUGCAGAGUACUUGUACUAUUUUAGGAGGGGAAAUGAAUUCAUUGCUCCACUAUAAAACCCCUCCAUGAUAUCGAUUUCAGACGGUUGUACACAAAUCUGGUUGGGAUUUCAUUUGUGGUGCCAACAAUGAAAGAAAUUCAUUUCAUUCACAUUAUUUUUCUACACAAUCUUCAUUUAUCACUUUCAUUUUUACUUGCACUGAACUGAAAAAGUAGUUACUGUUUUGUUAGAUUUGAAUGGCUGAUGAAAAAUGUGUUAACUAGCAGAACACUAGUACUGCUUGAACAUUUAUGUCACCUAGUAUAAUUAUAUAAAUAGCAAUGGCAAAGGGCUGAUGACUUCUCUGCCAUUUGUG
rnacentral:misc_RNA from 1 species